GGAUUUCACUAGCCUUGGCAGUUCGUUUUUGGCUGUGGUGUGAGCGGGUUGAAGAAAUAUCAACUAUGGUUAACGUAAAGCGGUGCAUCUUUUUUGGUUAUAGGUGAAAAACAAAAUGCAUAAAAAUGCAAUCUACACUACAUGUAGUAUUGAAGAUUGGGGACUAUUUUGCGUUUAAUCCCAAUUAGUACAAUCCAUAAUAAAUGGCAAGACUACAAAUUUAUGCUAGUUUACUGUAUGCAUCGUUGCUCAAUCUUCAUUUUUGGACUGAGUAUAUAUUGUGGAGCUGAAGAUUCUUAAUCCAAGAAAUGUGCAAGAAUCACAGUAUAUGGAGAGACACAGAAUCCUGAACUCCUGUAACAUGGGAGCCUCAAGUCUCUAAAUCAUCUGGUUGCACUUCUUUAAACCUCAGAAGAGGGAGGACCAAGAAACAAUCUUGUCUAUCACCAACUUUUCCUCCUCCUCCUCCCUCCAACUCCCUCACCCCAGCAAAAGAAAUGAAAUACUGUAAAAUGGCAAGUUGUUAUGAAGCAAUAGGGAAGCCAGGAUUUCAUCCACAAGGUUACUUUACUUACAGCAGAAAACACUGAAAAACAGACAUUCAGCAAAGAACAGUAUAGUGCACAGUACACGUGAGCAGGAGAUACUUUCUGCUUUUUCAAAAACAUGCACAACUUUGAAGGCCUCUAAUUUAUCAGCCUUGUAUUAAAGGAAUCCACCUAGUGGGAUAAGUGAUGCUUUCAAUUCAGUAACCAAACAUGUGACAAAAAUGUCUCCAGGUAACAUUUGCUCUCUUUGGCAUUACUAAAUCAAUGGGGAGGGAGGAGUGGGGUGGUGUGUGCAGAGGUUGUGGCUGGGGGAAACAGUUUUAUGCCCUGUUGUAGGAAUUGUUCACCUGAUCUACAGCUUGUCAGUCUGGGAAUGAAAACUUGAAAUACAAUCAUUUUUUAAAACUCUGCUGGUCAGUGUAUGCUUGGAAGUUUGUAUUUCAGUGCUAUUAAAGGUUUGAGUAUUGACCGUACUGUCAUUAACCCACACAUGAUUUUGGAUGUCACUGACUUAAUUAAAAAGCUUUUGACAUUU